GGGUCAGUAGGUUGGUCGUGCCACCGGUACGUACUGGUCUCACUGAUUCCUCCUUCCUGAAGAACCGUAAUGCCAUUAAUUUGGUGUUGCGGGGUCACAGGACUGUUACUUUGAAAAAAUUAGAGUGUUUAAAGCAAGCUAACGCUUGAAUACAUUAGCAUGGAAUAAUGAAAUAGGACGACCGAUCCUAUUUUGUUGGUUUCUAGGAUUGACGUA
rnacentral:rRNA from 1 species